UGAUACUGUGCCAGCUCCGCAAACACAUCCUUGUGCUAGGAUCAUACUCCCACAAACCAGACAAGACUUGGCGUUCAAGUUUCUUCAGCCUCCCACUGAUCCAGUUGUUAUGGAUAAUGUUCCACACAUCUAUUAUCGCCAACGCGGUUGGAUCCUCCUUCACCACAUAGUGUGUCGUAGAAGCUUGGUUGUUCAGAUAAUCCUGAAGUUUCUGCAUGUCUCACCACUUUCUCUAUAGCAGCAAUUGUUGGAUUAUCAGAAUGAGCAUAAUAGAAGCCAGAGUUCAAGCGUCUAGAGAAAGACCGCACAUACCUGCAAGAUGGAGAAAUCAUAAGUUUCCUGAUCAAGGGCAGAAACAAUAAAAUUUCCAAUUGAGAGUUUUCGUAAUCUGCAAACCCAACUCAUGAGCAUAUCCUUGUAGCUAUAUCCAGCAACUGAUCAGAAUCAACCUUGGAAUUCAAAUGGAAACUUGUGAUGGUCAAACUAGCAUCAAACACAAAUCUGAACUCAGAUGAAAUGGCCUCAUGAAUUACCCAACUGUUGUGUAUCCCUUUACCAUAGAUGAAUGGUGGAAGAACUCCAUUAUGUAGAGCAUUUUCUGCAGCUGAAGAACAGUGGCAGUACAAUUCAGUUUUGUUGAGCAGAAAAGUAUAGAAAUGAGUCCUGCAGUCAGGGAAUCCCUACAUCCACGCAAUCACGCAAUUUGAGUCCUUCGAUCGGUUGACUCAUAUGUUAAAUCAACCGGUCUUAAUCAGAUGGCUCAGUGCAUGAAUGCACGGUAUCCCUGACUACAAGAAACCCAAAUCCUAAAAGUACAGUGUGGGCUUUAGAAAAGAAAAAGAAAUUGCAGUGUGUACUUUCUCUAAGACCCUUGGAAUAUUUUUCAUACCUUAUGG